rnacentral:lncRNA from 1 species
CUGUCAUCUUUUUUCCCCUUUGAUAUGAAACUGACGGUAUUUUCAUUCAUGCCAUUGGAAAGUAAAAUUAUAGACUACACUAUAAUUGGAAUAUAAGAAAAAUCCAUUCUAUUGUCUAGUAAACUCACAAUUACAACUUUACAAGGCCAUCAAACAAUCAUCAUAUUCUUUGAGAACGUUUUAUGAUAUUCAUUUUCCGGGAACAAAGUUUGUGGCGAAGGCCCAGGCAUUGUUGUUAACUGGAUCUGCAAGGUGGUCCGCAAGGUUUUCCAAUGGACCCUUUCCGGUAACAAUAGCUUGAACAAAGAAUCCGAACAUAGAGAACAUAGCAAGUCUGCCGUUUUUUAUCUCCUUUACCUUGAGCUCAGCAAAUGCCUCUGGAUCAUCAGCAAGGCCUAAUGGGUCAAAGCUUCCACCUGGGUAGAGUGGGUCGACAACCUCACCAAGAGGUCCACCAGCAAUACGGUAUCCCUCAACGGCUCCCAUCAACACAACUUGGCAAGCCCAAAUGGCCAAGAUGCUUUGUGCAUGGACCAAGCUUGGGUUGCCCAAGUAGUCAAGUCCACCCUCGCUGAAGAUCUGGGAUCCAGCUUUGAACCAUACAGCCUCACCAAACUUGACACCGUUACGGGCCAAGAGCUCAGGGAAGACACAUCCAAGAGCCCCAAGCAUAGCCCAUCUGCAGUGGAUCACCUCAAGUUCACGGUUCUUGGCAAAGGUUUCAGGGUCUGCUGAAAGUCCAGCAGUAUCCCAGCCGUAGUCACCAGGGAAUUCACCGGUCAAGUAGCUUGGGGACUCACCAGAGAAUGGGCCUAAGUACUUAACACGGUCUGGUCCAUACCAUGGGCUGCUAGAUGGGGCAGACUUUGCGACAGCCUUUCUCAUAGUAAUCCUUCCAUUUCCAGUGAUUUCUGAGGCAGAGGGUGAGAGUUUCACCGCCUGUCCAGCAAAAGAAGGGGAAGAAAGAGCCAUUGUAGCAGCUGCCAUGGUUUAUAUCAAGAGAAAAGUAAGUGUUUGAAAUGUCAAAGUUGGUUGUGAUGAAGCUGAAGUUAGUUGGGGUUCAGAAUAUAUAGGAGGUAAUUAGAGAGAAAUAAUCUUCUUAUCUAGUGAUAUCUAUAUCUAUGAUAUCAUUGGGUAUCAAGAUCUCAUGUGUAGAAAUUAAUACACAUUUAGAAAUCACCAAUCCAUCAAUUUUCAUAGAAGGGACACAUUCAAUAAUGUCCUAUCAUAUGUGGUCACAAGGAUCGAAUUCUGCCCUGUGAUUUGUUGAGCUUACAAUAUGAUAUCCCUAUCAUUAUCCACUUUGGCAUUUCUCUACAUUUUGUCUACCUGCAGGGUAAAAGAUACCACCAUUAUAGUUCAUUCAAUGUAGAAAUAUGGUUUAGCAAAAUUUGAGGAUAAGGUGAAAUUUAUUACUUCUUUAUUCAUGAAUUUUGGGAAAUUAAUAAUGCAUCUUUAUACAGAAAGCAAUGCUGAGACUUGGAAAGAGCUUGUUCAGAAGAUCAUGAGUAAAUACUUUAAUAUGUUGGAAUUCAUCAGCAUUACAAUAUAUUGGCUGUGUUAAGACUUGAGAGAAAUAUAAUUCACUAAUUGUAGUAAAGAUGUUUUUACAGUAUCGGUAAAUUUUAACAUGUGAUAGUAGGUCAGUUCCUUAGUCUUACGAGACAACCAAUUGGAGUAAUGUUUAUCAAGGGAUUUACCUAUAAUUACUUUAUAAGUAAACUGAUUGUAUAUAUUUUUUAUAUUAUUAGUGCAUAUAGAUUAAAUUUGUUGCCAAUAAGUGUCAUGUAUAACAUUACUUGUCUCUUCUGCUAACUAACUAUACAAGUAUGUCCUUUGGCUCUGGUCAUUACUAUGAGCCUUGUUUGGAAGGAUCUGUCAAAGAUCUUUUAAUCUAAAGAUGGUACCAGAUGUUAGGAAGGAUGAUUUUACAAGAAAUUUAUGAAUUUGCUCACAGGACACAUAAUGUAAGGACCUGGAAACUCAUAAACUAUUACUUAGUAUGUUCAGACUACAAAACACAUUGGUUUUCCCUUCUCAAUGAAAUGUCAAUGUUGUGGUAGUGAAAUGAAACAACGACCUCUUAUUUCCUCUUUCACUUCUCGACAGAAAAAUGAGGAAUCAUGUAACAACGCCAUGGUGUUCAACAUUAGUACUUUACACUAAUUUCGAGUAUUGCUUCUCGAGAAUUAAUUGAAUUCCAUAAGUUCCUCUGAUCUGAAAAUUCAAGUUUUAAGCUUAUAACAGCUUUAUAGUUUUUCUAGUUACCACAUCUCAAUUCUCAUAUGUAUCUUCAAUUAUUUUUCCUUUCUUCGCCCCUUUGGUAUGAAAGUGGCAGUAUUUUACGUUCAUGGCUUUGGAAAAUGUAACUCAGAACUACACAAUCAUUGGAAAUUUGGAAUAUCAAAAAAAAUAAAAUCCAUUCUAUUGUCAAGUAACUCACAACUACUUUACAAGGCCAUCAAACAAUCAAAUUUUAAGAUUGUUUAAGAUUUUCAUUUUCCGGGGACAAAGUUUGUGGCAUAAGACCAGGCGUUGUUGUUAACGGGGUCUGCAAGGUGGUCUGCAAGGUUCUCCAAUGGACCCUUUCCGGUAACAAUGGCUUGAACAAAGAAUCCGAACAUAGAGAACAUAGCAAGUCUGCCGUUCUUGAUCUCCUUUACCUUGAGCUCAGCAAAUGCCUCUGGGUCUUCAGCAAGGCCUAAUGGGUCGAAGCUGCCACCAGGGUAGAGUGGGUCGACAACCUCACCAAGAG